GGACGACUUUGUGUGGCUAAAAAGGAGUAAGAAUUCCGAGUCCAUGUAAAAACAUUUAUUGAUUCCUUAUCCACCCAGAAGCUGCUGCUUCUGCUUGCCUUGAAGACCUUCAGCUGUAGAAGUUUUUUUGAAAUCACUGAACUUUGAAGUUUAUAAAACCAGAAAUGCACAUCUGUUUGUAUGAUGGGACCUCCCUGAAUGCUACAACUGGAUGCCAUGUGGAGAACACUUAGCUGAACAAGGAAACAUUUAAAGUACCGACAAGGAGGUAAAUAUUCUCUGUCACUUUAUCCCGAAGAGCCUUUUCCCUUGGUCUAUUAGAAUUGUCCAUUUUAAACUAUAGGAGCCUGGACAAUUAGCAAAAAAACCAAAUAAACUUAUCCACUUUCAUCAUUCCAUUCAUUGGAACCUGCCAGGCUGUGCCAGUGAAUGGCUCAGCCCCACUGAGUAUCUCAGACUCCUCAGUGCAGGAAAACCAGUGAGCUUUUCAGUGUUUCUUAAAUGUUAAAAAUAGCUAGAGGUCAGACUGAAAGGGAUUCCUGUUGUGAAUUAGCCAGCAUCCCUAUUUUAUAGCCUGGCAUUAAGGAUUGCAAUAUUCUAUUUCUUAGAUUAUUACAAGUGCAGUUGUAAGGUGAUGAAAGAAUAGCAGAGGUCAAGGAUGGAAGUUAGAUUAUAGUUCUAUUGGAGGAAGAGCUCAGUUGCAGAGUGCCAUAAUCAGACAAUUCUCCCUGUAGCUGAAUUGUACUCAGAGAUUGUGCCUUGAGGAUGAAUAUUUGAAAUAAGGGGACUUGGGUUUUCUAUACGCAUUUUUUAUCUAUUACAACUGCUUACUAUAUGUUAAUUUCCUUAAUUGUAACCAUUUCCCAGGCCAUGACUUGAUUCUCAAGUCUGAUUAAUAUAAUCUUGGUCAUUGUAACAUGGAAAGCUUAAAGUUUGAAGACACCAAGAGAUACCUGUUUGUUUUUAUCACAUUUGUGGUAUUUGGUUUUGUAUUAACUGUUCCAAAGUAAUCUCUUCUCCCCUGUAUCAAAUAAAGUGAGCAAAUUACUUAAACUGAAAACACUGCAUGAAAGUAUGAAUGGGUACACAAUAGGAAUGUUAUUCUGAUUUUACGUGUACUGGUCUGUAUUUUGCAUAUUGCACAGGAGCAAACCCACAGUAAGGGACAGCAGAGUCCUGUGAACAGCAGAGGUGUGGAAAGCAGAAUAGACUCCCAAAGCCUGACUCCUGUAUCAACUCCAUUUUUACCUCUGAUGUUUUAAUUUACUGAAUUAUAUCUAUUAUGAAGUGUACAUGAUGAAAAAUACAGCAAUUUGCUGGUACAAAGCCAGUGUAAUGUGGCUUCAAGGAGCAUACAGAGACGGAAAAAAGCCUACUUAUAUUUAUGAUAAAAGUCCUA